rnacentral:rRNA from 1 species
GACGAACGCUGGCGGCGUGCUUAACACAUGCAAGUCGACGAGAACGAGGUAGCAAUACCUUUAGUAAAGUGGCGCACGGGUGCGUAACACGUAAGCAAUCUACCCUUAGAUUGGGAAUAACUUCGAGAAAUCGGGGCUAAUACCGAAUGAUGCAGCGGCACCGCAUGGUGAUGUUGUUAAAGUUACUUUUGUAACGUCUAGGGAUGAGCUUGCGUCUGAUUAGCUAGUUGGUGAGGUAAUGGCUCACCAAGGCAACGAUCAGUAGCUGGUCUGAGAGGAUGAUCAGCCACACUGGAACUGAGACACGGUCCAGACUCCUACGGGAGGCAGCAGUGAGGAAUAUUGGGCAAUGCCCGCAAGGGUGACCAGCAACGCCGCGUGGAGGAUGAAUGCCGUAAGGUUGUAAACUCCUGUGAGAAGGGAAGAAUAACUAAGGGAGUAAAAAGACUACUUAGAAUGACUGUACCUUCAGAGGAAG